rnacentral:rRNA from 1 species
AUGAACGCUGGCGGCGUGCCUCAUACCUGCAAGUCGAGCGAACAGACGAGGAGCUUGCUCCUCUGACGUUAGCGGCGGACGGGUGAGUAACACGUGGAUAACCUACCUAUAAGACUGGGAUAACUUCGGGAAACCGGAGCUAAUACCGGAUAACAUGUUGAACCGCAUGGUUCAACAGUGAAAGACGGUCUUGCUGUCACUUAUAGAUGGAUCCGCGCCGCAUUAGCUAGUUGGUAAGGUAACGGCUUACCAAGGCAACGAUGCGUAGCCGACCUGAGAGGGUGAUCAGACACACUGGAACUGAGACACGGUCCAGACUCCUACGGGAGGCAGCAGUAGGGAAUCUUCCGCAAUGGGCGAAAGCCUGACGGAGCAACGCCGCGUGAGUGAAGAAGGUCUUCGGAUCGUAAAACUCUGUUAUUAGGGAAGAACAAAUGUGUAAGUAACUAUGCACGUCUUGACGGUACCUAAUCAGAAAGCCACGGCUAACUACGUG